rnacentral:rRNA from 1 species
AGAGUUUGAUCAUGGCUCAGAGUGAACGCUGGCGGCGUGCUUAACACAUGCAAGUCGAGCGGUAACAGGCGUAGCAAUACGUGCUGACGAGCGGCGAACGGGUGCGUAAUACAUGGGAAUCUGCCCUUUGGUGGGGAAUAACCCGGCGAAAGCCGGGCUAAUGCCGCAUGAGAUCUUCGGAUGAAAGCGGGGGAUCGUAAGACCUCGCGCCGAUGGAUGAGCCCAUGUCGGAUUAGCUAGUUGGUGAGGUAACGGCUCACCAAGGCGACGAUCCGUAGCUGGUCUGAGAGGACGGCCAGCCACACUGGGACUGAGACACGGCCCAGACUCCUACGGGAGGCAGCAGUGGGGAAUAUUGGACAAUGGGCGAAAGCCUGAUCCAGCGACGCCGCGUGUGUGAAGAAGGCCUGCGGGUUGUAAAGCACUUUCGAUGGGAACGAAAUGUGCCGGGCUAAUACCCCGGCAAGCUGACGUUACUCAAUGAAGAAGCACCGGCUAACUACGUGCCAGCAGCCGCGGUAAUUC